UAGGGAAUAUUGGUCAAUGGGCGGAAGCCUGAACCAGCCACGCCGCGUGCAGGAUGAAGGUCUUUGGAUUGUAAACUGCUUUUGCAAGGGAAGAAAUAGCAGGUGCGCCUGUAACUGACGGUACCUUGCGAAUAAGCAUCGGCUAACUACGUGCCAGCAGCCGCGGUAAUACGUAGGAUGCAAGCGUUAUCCGGAUUCACUGGGUUUAAAGGGUGCGUAGGCUGUCUUAUAAGUCAGGGGUGAAAGUUUGUCGCUUAACGAUAAAAUUGCCUUUGAUACUGUAAGACUUGAGUGUUGCGGAGGGAGCUGGAAUUCGUAGUGUAGCGGUGAAAUGCAUAGAUACUACGAGGAACACCAAUAGUGAAAACAGGUUCCUGACCAACAACUGACGCUGAGGCAC
rnacentral:rRNA from 1 species